rnacentral:snRNA from 1 species
GGAUGUGAGGGCGAUCUGGCUGCGACAUCUGUCACCCCAUUGAUCGCCAGGGUUGAUUCGGCUGAUCUGGCUGGCUAAGCGGGUGUCCCCCUCCUCCCUCACCGAUCCAUGUGCGUCCCUCCCGAAGCUGCGCGCACAUGGAUGACCUUCCUCCCCGAGGAGAGGAACGGUCUUCGGUCAAGGGUAUACGAGUAGCUGCGCUCCCUGCUAGAACCUUCAAACAAGCUCUCAAGAAUAUUUACUUUUUGAGCCCAAUAUGACAAGAGAAAUUACUGAGCAAGAACCAGAUGACUCAAGAUAUGAGCAUAU